CAAUUGUUCAGUUGCAAAAAGAAACUGGAGCCACCAUCAAGCUGUCUAAGUCCAAAGAUUUUUACCCAGGUGCUGACAGCUGCAGAAGAAAUUGUACAUGGUGCUGUACAGAAGGUAUUUCUCCACUGUGCCAUCUGCAGAGUGAAACUGACUAGGAGUACUACAUAGACUGUAAGUUUCUUGUGUACCUGCCCUAGACUGGAAAACCCAAUAAGAGAAAAUAACAAAUAACUGGGAAGCAUCAUCUAAAAAUGUAUUGAGGUCAGUUAAACUUAGUGCUGCUCUCCCUGGCUCUAAAUUUUAUUUUAAGGUCAUCUGAUUGGUACGAAAUUAAAUAACAAAUAGAUGGAUGCACUCCUUUUUAUUCUAAAAGCAAAUGAAACUAAAAUACUUUUAUCAAUAUUCUUCACUUUGAAUGGAACUUAAUCAUAUUGUUUUUAAAUAUUUUUAAGGAACCAAAUCAAUAGUAUAAGAUUUCAGAGCCAUGUUCUUCAAAUAGC
rnacentral:sRNA from 1 species